AAGAUUAUACUUUCAGGGAUUAUUUCUAUAGGCAAUGAUGGGAGAAAUGUGCGUUAAUGUAUCCAAACUCACAAAUCACUAUGAAGAUUUAAAGGGCUUUCUUCUCAGCAUGAAUAUAGUUAGCUACUCAGUUUUAUGCAGAUGUUGUUAGCUUUUGAUGACUGUGCUACUAUUUUAAAAAGAAGUGGUAGAGGAAUUAUCAUUCAGAGUGGC